GCAAGGUACACACCCUUGACCGAAACCGAACCUGGGAUUCAGUCCAUGGGCCAAUGCUCUAUCCAUUGAGCCAAACCAACUAGGGCUCUCUCUUAUUUUAGAAAAGUUAUCCAGUUCAAUAUCAGUGUUCUCAUGUAUAAAAUAAGGUAAGUUAAAAUAAUCAGGAAAUAAAGAAACAGAUGGAAAAUAGCCACUGCAGGAUUGUUGUGAGAGUAACUUCUUGAGUAAGUUGGCUUAUCGAGGAGCGACUCCCCACAGUGCCACCUCUCAGCUGCUUCUUCACACAAGCCGUCUUGCUGUGAUGGACAGAGAGAAAGGACCUCAGGUGUUUGCACUGCAGUCAUGCAAGUGUGUCCAUGAGCUCUGCCUUUCAGCUGAGCAAGGACACAGGUCAUGUUUCUUUAGUGGAGACUUUGUCUGGAGAAUUCAUACCUGAACAUGUCACAAAUGAGAAUCUUGGAAUAUUUCCCCCUUAGGAACUCGGAAAACAAUGUCAAACACUGCUUGGCUUCUGUGAAUUAUUUGCAGCCAGGGACUGGAAUAAGUGGUUGCAGAUGACUUUGUGUAAUAUUGAACCCACUGUUUUUCAGUAGUGAAGGUAUACCAAUGGGAGGUCAGUGGGUGGACCAUAAACCAGACUCUGAGUUAAGCCACAUCUGGAAGAGUCUCUGUUUCUUUAUUUUCAUUUCAAACUCUAGAUUAUUAAGGACAAGAUCUAUAUCUUGGUCUUAUAACAUGCAUUUAACUUUCAACUCUCCUCUUCUGAAACACACAAUGUCUUUACAAAUAAUAAUAACAUUUAUUGAGCACAUAGUAUGCGGCAGGCCCUGGACUAGGUGUGCCAUUCCCGUAGCUACGUGUGAGGCUACCACUACAUACUGAAUCAGUUAUCUGUUGUAAAGCAGUCGUUGUAUCUAAUCCCGAUUGGGUAGGUCAGCAAUCUGGUCAGAGCCCAGCUGGCCACUGCUUCUGCGUGGGGUCACUCAGGUGACUGCACUUUGUGGGCAGGUAUGCUGGCACCAGUUGGUCCAGGAAGGCUUGUCUCUGCUCCACAUGGUCUCUCCUCCAGCAGAGCAGCCUUGGCUGAUUCUCAUGGACACAGCGCCCCCAGAGGUCAAGAAUGGAAACUGCACCGCUUCCCGAAACCCAGACUUGGAACUCACAGUGUCACUUCCAUUGCCUUCUACUGCUCACAAGGCCAGCCCAGAUUCAGGGAGUGUGGAACAGGCCUCACCUCCUGAGGCGCUGCCAAGAAUGCGUGGCCAUUUAUUGUCUACCACACACACUCUCACAGAUGAGCUAUUGGUUUAUUUGUUUUGAGAAAUCUCCUAGUAAACUCCUUUUUAAAAAAACAUCCAUCAUCUUCGAUGUAGCAUGAUAAAGAGGUGGGGUAAGGAAAUACAAACUUUUAACAAUUUUGUGCAUGCACUGGCCCAAACAGAAGAAAAAUUUUUAACUUUGAAAUCUAAAUGAGCUUGAGAUAAGUCAGACAUUUCCCCAAAUGUUGGGUGCAUAACAGAUUAUCUUACCAUGAGCAGUGCAGUUGCGGUGAUGCGUGGCGCCCUGAGGGGUGCCCGCCCUGCGCCCAGGCUGCGUGGGAUGCCCACUUGGGAUCUGGAAACCGCUGGGGUCGGGCUCUCGUGGAACCCAGAGCUGGGGUACAGCCCCUCCCUCCUCUGUUUCCAGAGCUGGCAAAGAGAUGCGUUCUCUGCCAUGUGAGCAGCAGGAUGGGAAAUAGUCCACAGAACGUGGUCUCUGGCCUCAGCUGGUGGACCGCAAGCCGGGCUCUGAGUUAAGCCACAGCAGGAAGAGUCUGCUUCUUUAUCUUCGAAGCAUUCUCCUCACUCUAGUAAAGGCCGUGAGGCUGUGUGGAGUGGCAGGGGAGCCCACUGGGUCCGUCUGGGAACCUGCAGGUGAAGACAGUGGGGAACAGAUCGCAUCCGCCUGCAGGUGGAUGGCUUGGGGCAGGACGUGGACCUGUCUGCACCUCCGUUUGAACCUGCCUGAGUAAAACCCAAAUGGCGACACCCAGCUUCCAGGGUUGAUGUGAGAACUAAAUAUGAAGUGGAGAAUGUGCUCAGAGGCAGUGGCAGAUGCUCAAACCCGGCCAUUCAUCAUCCCUGAAGCUGGCAUGCACCCAGAAGGUGUGAGCUGCAGCAUGUGCUUAGGAAAAUUCCUAAAUCCUGGCAUUCCUCCAGGAGUUAAAGGAGAGGUUUAAGCUCAUUUCGACUGCAUGGCUUUAUAAUGCCUACUUGCCUAGGAAAUCAGAGCUUCAUUCUUUUGCAUGAAACAUAUAUUGUAGGGACUAGAAAGCAAAAUACUACAUUUCCCAGGCUCACCCCUAAAUUAGGGUCUGGAUGUGAUUGAGGUUUUGCCUGUCCGAUAUACAAAUGCAAACUUGAAUUAGUGGAGGGCACAGUAGGGACAGAAGCACAGAGGCAGUGGUGUGUACCUGUUGGGAAACAGAAAAACAACAUCUCUGCCAGCCCAGAAAAGCUCCCCAUGGAGGCAGAAAAGAAAGAGGGGAGUUUAUCAAGGAGAAAGCAUACAGCAGAAUGUGAUGUGAGUUACAUGCAGGCAGCCCGGUCAGAGAUUGCAAAAGCCAGCAAGCAACCUCACCCCUGGGCAGAGCUGAGCAGACACACCCAUCCAUAGGUGUUCCCAAGAUAAACAGUAACUAGGCCUUGAGGCAGAGGCGCGAAUGGCACCAUUUAUCACAGUUGAUGCUCAAUUCACCUGGUCAUUGGGCAGCCACCUGUUUGCACAUGGCCUUUAUCCAAAGGAAAGCGCAUUGAUGAUAGCGGAUUGCGGGGAGUGACGCCUGGGAUUGGCGCUGGUGCCAGCUGCAGGGAGGCGCUACUCCCCCUCAGUCAGGUGGUGAUUAUUGAGAGAAAUAAAGUGCUAGGUAUUGUAAGGCAGUAACAUUUGGACAGUUCACCUGACCUUGCAAUUGUAUAAAAUGCUCACCAAUGUUCUGUAAGUGCGCCUGUCUGUCUGUGUCCAAAUUUCCUCUUCACGUAGCGGGUGCAGCUGGGGCCCAGGAGGGUUUGUGGGCGGGAAGGCCCCCCACGCACCUGGGCGUCUGGAGCAGAACCUCCCGGCGGAUGUGACCUUCGAGCCUGCAGUCCUCCGUGGACCGGAGCUGCUCUCGCCCAUGCUGUUUGUACAUUUAGCUCCAGGUUCAUCUCCAAUCUCGGCUUCCGGCGCCUGCUGCGCAUUUGCCAUUGUUAAUAACGUUUUGGUCCUGAAAUAGAUCACUGGUAGGGAGGUGGUAUAAGUUUGGAGUUUAAAAAUAAGAGCUAACAUUCAUUCAACAAUUAUUGUGUGCCAGAAACGUACGAUUUUUACAUCGAUGACUUCAUUUUAUUUUUGAAUUGUUCACACAUGAAGAGGCAGAGACUGUGGAACAAUGAGGACAGAACUUGGUCUCGGCCGAUGCUAACGUCCAGGACUCACCACGUACAAAUCUGCUGAUUAAAGUGUCAGUGGCCCUGGCCCAUGGGGCUCAGCGGGUUGGGCGUCGUCCUGUGCCCUGAAAGGUUGUCAGCAAUGGAUAUUGCUUUCACAUGGAUGUUUCUCUCUCUCCCUCUGCCUUCUCCUCUCUCUAAAAAAGCCAAUAAAAGUAAAUUAAUUAAUGAAAAGUUUUAGUAAGUUAAGAUUAUGCCAAAAUUUGCCUGUCAGCUCUUCACUUACAAAUCAGUAUCUUUUUUAUUUAUGACUAGCGAUUUCCUGAAACGUUGCAUAGAACAGCAACACUAUGAUCAAGUGUCUGCAUGUCUUCCGGGGAAGCUGCCAAUCUGAGGAAGAGUUGGAGGAGGAGGCAGAGGAAGGAAGGGAGGGGACAGGUGGUCACCUGUGACGUUCCGCAGCUCAUGCAGGACUGCUCUCCCGGCCCCUCUUCCCAGAGACUCGGGUGGGAUGGGAGGAAAGGUCCUCUUAGAGAGGGGACCGGAGGGCCAGGCCCAUGCCCAGAGCUGAGCAGGUGGCAGCUGGCUAGAGAGAGUCGGCAAUAGGACUUGGGGGAGAGUCUGAAUUGUGUUGGGGGUACACUCUUCAGGCAUAAUCCCUUUAUUACCAAAGGGUUUUCUUCUUUGGACCAGGUUAAUGCUCCUCCAGGUCACCUCCUGUAAGACAUUCUGCCCUGAGAGAUGCGUCUGCAUUGGGUUGUAAUUCCAUCAAUGUAAUGAGGGGGAGACGUGAUUGCCUCAAGCGAACCUUUCUCUUCUGUAGCUGGUGAUGGAUGAAUAAAAGCUGCAUCCUUUCUUCCUGAAGUCUGGAGAGAGUGGGGAGAGGCCGGGCAGGGUACCCACAGUAUUCGCUGGUCAGCUGACGCUUCCGAGAACGCCCAGGCCUGGCCACAGCCAGAGGGCCCAGCGGCGCCAGGAGAAGUUCAUCAGUAACAGUUUGCAUUUGGAAAUUAUCUCAAAAAACGUCAGUUUCCAAGAGGUCGGCUGCUUUCUCAAUAUCUUUGCAACACUGCAGGCCCUUUCCCUCCUAUUCGAAGGGAAGGGAACUCUCUCUCCCUGAUUGUGUGCAGAGACCACGCAGUUGUUGGCAGACUUGAGAGCCACACACAAAUCCUUUAUGAUCUUUUCAACUUCCUUUCUCCUCCAGGAAUGUGCUGAGGCGCCCGGCGCCCGCUGUCGGAUGGUAAACCUGGCGUGAUACCGACAGGCGAUGCUCUUGAAGUUGGUGUCAUUACCUCUGUGCUUCAGAGGCUCGCCAUCGGGGAAGUCAGUGAAUUUUCCAAGGUCUCCCAGAUGGUACAUGACUUCAGAGAACCUCGGCCAUGCUGAUCCCAGAUCCCAGAGCCCAUGCCCAUGGACAAAAGAAUAUAUUUGAUUAUGUGUAAUAAAAAAUCAAAUAUUUUUAUUAAAACUGCUAAAAAAGAACA